rnacentral:rRNA from 1 species
GUGGGUAGUUUGACUGGGGCGGUCUCCUCCUAAAGAGUAACGGAGGAGCACGAAGGUUGGCUAAUCCUGGUCGGACAUCAGGAGGUUAGUGCAAUGGCAUAAGCCAGCUUGACUGCGAGCGUGACGGCGCGAGCAGGUGCGAAAGCAGGUCAUAGUGAUCCGGUGGUUCUGAAUGGAAGGGCCAUCGCUCAACGGAUAAAAGGUACUCCGGGGAUAACAGGCUGAUACCGCCCAAGAGUUCAUAUCGACGGCGGUGUUUGGCACCUCGAUGUCGGCUCAUCACAUCCUGGGGCUGAAGUAGGUCCCAAGGGUAUGGCUGUUCGCCAUUUAAAGUGGUACGCGAGCUGGGUUUAGAACGUCGUGAGACAGUUCGGUCCCUAUCUGCCGUGGGCGCUGGAGAACUGAGGGGGGCUGCUCCUAGUACGAGAGGACCGGAGUGGACGCAUCACUGGUGUUCGGGUUGUCAUGCCAAUGGCACUGCCCGGUAGCUAAAUGCGGAAGAGAUAAGUGCUGAAAGCAUCUAAGCACGAAACUUGCCCCGAGAUGAGUUCUCCCUGAGACUUAAAGUCUCCUGAAGGAACGUUGAAGACGACGACGUUGAUAGGCCGGGUGUGUAAGCGCA